GGAGGAAAGUAGGGGAUCGAAAGACCUUAUGCUUUUGGAGCGGCCGAUGUCUGAUUAGCUAGUUGGUAAGGUAAUGGCUUACCAAGGCAACGAUCAGUAGUUGGUCUGAGAGGACGGCCAGCCACACUGGGACUGAGACACGGCCCAGACUCCUACGGGAGGCAGCAGUGGGGAAUUUUGGACAAUGGGCGCAAGCCUGAUCCAGCAAUGCCGCGUGAGUGAAGAAGGCCUUCGGGUUGUAAAGCUCUUUCAGUUGAGAAGAAAAAGUCGUGACUAAUAAUCAUGAUUCAUGACGGUAUCAACAGAAGAAGCACCGGCUAACUACGUGCCAGCAGCCGCGGUAAUACGUAGGGUGCAAGCGUUAAUCGGAAUUACUGGGCGUAAAGGGUGCGCAGGCGGUUCUGUAAGUCAGAUGUGAAAUCCCCGGGCUUAACCUGGGAACUGCGUUUGAAACUACAAGGCUAGA
rnacentral:rRNA from 1 species